rnacentral:rRNA from 1 species
UACGGAGGAUGCAAGCGUUAUCCGGAAUGAUUGGGCGUAAAGCGUCCGCAGGUGGCUGUGUAAGUCUGCUGUUAAAUAGUGAGGCUCAACCUCAUAAAGGCAGUGGAAACUACACGGCUAGAGUGCGUUCGGGGCAGAGGGAAUUCCUGGUGUAGCGGUGAAAUGCGUAGAGAUCAGGAAGAACACCGGUGGCGAAAGCGCUCUGCUAGGCCGCAACUGACACUGAGGGACGAAAGCUAGGGGAGCGAAUGGG